GACGAACGCUGGCGGCGUGCUUAACACAUGCAAGUCGAACGGUGAAGCGCCUUCCUUUUUGGUGGGUGUGGAUGAGUGGCGAACGGGUGAGUAACACGUGAGUAACCUGCCCCCUUCUUCUGGAUAACCGCAUGAAAGUGUGGCUAAUACGGGACAUUCUGGGUCUGUCGCAUGAUGGGUCUGGGAAAGAUAUUGUUUCGGUGGGGGAUGGGCUCGCGGCCUAUCAGCUUGUUGGUGGGGUGAUGGCCUACCAAGGCGGUGACGGGUAGCCGGCCUGAGAGGGUGGACGGUCACACUGGGACUGAGACACGGCCCAGACUCCUACGGGAGGCAGCAGUGGGGAAUAUGGCACAAUGGGCGCAAGCCUGAUGCAGCGACGCCGCGUGAGGGAUGGAGGCCUUCGGGUUGUGAACCUCUUUCGCCAGUGAAGCAGGCCUGCCUCGUUUGUGGGUGGGUUGACGGUAGCUGGAUAAGAAGCGCCGGCUAACUACGUG
rnacentral:rRNA from 1 species